AGCGAACGCUGGCGGCAGGCCUAACACAUGCAAGUCGAACGGAUCCUUCGGGAUUAGUGGCGGACGGGUGAGUAACACGUGGGAACGUGCCCUUUGGUUCGGAACAACUCAGGGAAACUUGAGCUAAUACCGGAUGUGCCCUUCUGGGGAAAGAUUUAUCGCCAUUGGAGCGGCCCGCGUCUGAUUAGCUAGUUGGUGAGGUAACGGCCCACCAAGGCGACGAUCAGUAGCUGGUCUGAGAGGAUGAUCAGCCACACUGAGACUGAGACACGGCCCAGACUCCUACGGGAGGGAGCAGUGGGGAAUCUUGCGCAAUGGGCGAAAGCAUGACGCAGCCAUGCCGCGUGAAUGAUGAAGGUAUUAGGAUUGUAAAAUUCUUUCAGCGGGGACGAUAAUGACGGUACCCGCAGAAGAAGCUCCGGCUAACUUCGUG
rnacentral:rRNA from 1 species